rnacentral:rRNA from 1 species
GGUAUCCUGUCUGAAUAUGGGGGGACCAUCCUCCAAGGCUAAAUACUCCUGACUGACCGAUAGUGAACCAGUACCGUGAGGGAAAGGCGAAAAGAACCCCGGCGAGGGGAGUGAAAAAGAACCUGAAACCGUGUACGUACAAGCAGUGGGAGCACCCUUUGGGGUGUGACUGCGUACCUUUUGUAUAAUGGGUCAGCGACUUAUAUUCUGUAGCAAGGUUAACCGAAUAGGGGAGCCGUAGGGAAACCGAGUCUUAACCGGGCGUUAAGUUGCAGGGUAUAGACCCGAAACCCGGUGAUCUAGCCAUGGGCAGGUUGAAGGUUGGGUAACACUAACUGGAGGACCGAACCGACUAAUGUUGAAAAAUUAGCGGAUGACCUGUGGCUGGGGGUGAAAGGCCAAUCAAACCGGGAGAUAGCUGGUUCUCCCCGAAAGCUAUUUAGGUAGCGCCUCGUGAAUUCAUCUCCGGGGGUAGAGCACUGUUUCGGCUAGGGGGCCAUCCCGGCUUACCAACCCGAUGCAAACUGCGAAUACCGGAGAAUGUUAUCACGGGAGACACACGGCGGGUGCUAACGUCCGUCGUGAAGAGGGAAACAACCCAGACCGCCAGCUAAGGUCCCAAAGUCAUGGUUAAGUGGGAAACGAUGUGGGAAGGCCCAGACAGCCAGGAUGUUGGCUUAGAAGCAGCCAUCAUUUAAAGAAAGCGUAAUAGCUCACUGGUCGAGUCGGCCUGCGCGGAAGAUGUAACGGGGCUAAACCAUGCACCGAAGCUGCGGCAGCGACACUGUGUGUUGUUGGGUAGGGGAGCGUUCUGUAAGCCUGUGAAGGUGUGUCGUGAGGCAUGCUGGAGGUAUCAGAAGUGCGAAUGCUGACAUAAGUAACGAUAAAGCGG